CUUGUCUCAGUGCGAGAGACCCAGAAUGCCACAGCUAGUGGCUGGACACGUCUUUUGUGACAAGCAGCUCUGUGCCUUGGUCAUUACACCCCACGUCAUGGAGGGAAACUGAGGCUCUAGGGAUCCUGUCCCAGGUCCACCCCAAGACUUACAGCAUCAUGAGUCUCCAAAUGUUGCACUGUUGUGGUCACUUGUUCCAUCCGUGGAAAGCACUGGGCACCAGUGUUGAGCCUUCAUCCAGUAGCUGAUGGAAGCAGAGGCAGACACCCACAGCUAAACACUGAACCGAACUCCUGGAACACAGUUGCAGAGAGGGAAUAGUGAUGAGCAAAGGGGUCAAGACCAGACUGGUGAAACCCACAGAAACAGCUGACCUGAAC
rnacentral:lncRNA from 1 species